GAGGUGGGAGGACUGCCUGAGCCUGGAAGGCGGAGGCUGCAGUGAGCUGAGAUCACACCACUGCACUCCAGCCUGAGUGACAGAGCAAGACCUUGUCUC
ensembl:miRNA